rnacentral:lncRNA from 1 species
UUUGAACGAGAUAAAAGUCGUCUUAAUAAUCGAAUUCACCAAUUUUCAAAAGAAGACGUUAUCACGAAAAUCAAGAAUAUUAAUGAGAGGAUGGACAAAAUCAUCUUUCCAGAAGGUCUUCAUGAAAUAUCAAAUGAAGAAUACAUAAUUUAUGUUGCUCUAUCUAAAGAAGAUCUUGUUCCAUCCAUUUUAUAUGGCUAGAAAGUGGAAAACGACUUUUCUUACUCGAUUUUUGCCAAUGGUUCCCCUUUAUCUAACAUCGAAGUGAGCCAUAUUUAUUCCUCAAAUAUCCUGCUGUUGGCAACAUUUUGGCUAAUUUGAAGUCUAGAUCAGAAUCGCAUUUCCUCAUUUAUCUUGGAUUCAUUAUUGAAGAACUCCAAUUAUUAUCUGUGGGUGUCAGUAGAAAAAAAUAAUCUGCAACAUUAUUUGGAAUUUCAACGCUGUGGCAUGGUACUUGCCCUGCCCUAUACAAACAAAUUAAGGAGUCUGGAUAGAUAUUUGAAAAUCAAUAACCCAUAUUAAAGGACUAACAAGUUCAUAGAGGUGUUGCAAAUUCUACAAUUGAUUAUUUCAAUCAAGACUUGAAUCAUUUACUGAAAAAGAUACAUUUGUGUCAAUAAUAAGUAAUUGACGAAUUUUAUUCAUCGCAGUGAGUACAAUUCAGUUAUGGCAAUUUUUUUGGAUGUGAACAUGGUAGAAAUUACUUUAUAACUUUGCUUUGUUUCAUGAUUAAAGGUAUUCUAGGAAACUGCAGUGAUAUGGUAGCUAUGGUGCCUAUAAAUUGCAUUAAGUCAUCCAUUAUUAAAGAAAAUUAAAUGAAGGCUCUUAAAGUACAUAGUUACUUAAGUUGGCUUUGAAACAGUUGCAACAAUUGUUGAUGUACAUUCAGCAAAUCGUAAGUUCUAUGCUUAUGAACUUGAAAAUGGAACUGCUCCACAUAUAUUUUCAAUCAAAAGGAAAAAAUAUGUAGAUUUGUCAGUGAGGUUUUUCCAAGAAUCUACUCUUAACGCCCUCAAUCAUUAUACUUCACAGGAUUAAAAAUUUAUAAAUUUCAAAGAAACGGCACAAGUUGUAUAUAUGGUGAAACUUUUUUGGAACUGUGUCAACAUUAACUCUAAUUCCAUGUAUAUCCAAAUGAGGGAUACUUCUUCAAACCCCAAAUCUGAUAAUUUAAGAGAGCAAAUCCAUUUUUUAAUGAACUUUGCUGAAUUGAUUAAAUGCUAGGAGGAACACGCUAAGAAACAUGGAGGUGGUCGAUCUUCUGGCAUGUUUCUUGCAUCUUAUCAAAUUUCAACUGGAUUUGCUCAUUUAUCUAAUUAUUUGUGGGUAAAAAGAGGAUCAAAUUCAUUUUUUUCGUAAAAUCAAUUCGGACCCAAUAGAAAAAAAAAUUCUAAGUUGAAUUUCUAUUGAAUUGUGGAUAGGUUCCAUUUUUCGCCUUCUAUAUUUAUAAUAUGAGACAUUUAUAUAAAAUGAAUUAAUUCCUUCAUAAAGAAAUAAAUAAUCUAUUUUAUUUGGGAAA